AUUAAGCCUUGUCUAGCGGUUUGAUAAGAGAUUGAUAGACUCGCAGUUUCUAGACUUGAGUUAUGUGUCGAGGGGCUGUUAAAAUAAUACAUAACCUAUGGUUGUAGACAAAUAUGUUGGCAGGUGUUUGGACGUGGGUUCGACUCCCACCGGCUCCAUUA
rnacentral:tmRNA from 1 species